rnacentral:rRNA from 1 species
AUUGAACGCUGGCGGCAGGCCUAACACAUGCAAGUCGAGCGCGCGGCGGACGUGUGAGGAAUGUCUGUGGCUCUGCCCGAUAGCGCGGGAUACCUACUGGAAACCUUGGCUCCUCCCUCAUACUAUCCGAUGAUCCCCUAUGGGUUUGUCUAGUAGGUGGGGUAAAGGCUCACCUAGGCGACGAGCUCUAGCUGGUCUGAGAGGAUGCUCAGCCACACUGGGACUGAGACACGGCCCAGAGUCCUACGGGAGGCAGCAGUGGGGAAUAGUGCACAAUGGGCGCAAGCCUGAUGCCGCCAGGCCGAGUGUAUGAUGAAGGAGUUAGGGUUGUAAGGUACUUUCAGCGGGGAGGCGGGACCCGAAGAAGAAGCACCGGCUAACUCCGUGCCAGCAGCCGCGGUAAUUC